rnacentral:rRNA from 1 species
UACGUAGGGGGCAAGCGUUAUCCGGAUUCACUGGGUGUAAAGGGCGUGUAGGCGGGGAAGCAAGUCAGAUGUGAAAACCACGGGCUCAACCUGUGGCCUGCAUUUGAAACUGUUUUUCUUGAGUGCUGGAGAGGCAAUCGGAAUUCCGUGUGUAGCGGUGAAAUGCGUAGAUAUACGGAGGAACACCAGUGGCGAAGGCGGAUUGCUGGACAGUAACUGACGCUGAGGCGCGAAAGCGUGGGGAGCAAACAGG